rnacentral:rRNA from 1 species
AUUGAACGCUGGCGGCAGGCCUAACACAUGCAAGUCGAACGAGUGGCGGACGGGUGAGUAAUGUCUGGGAAACUGCCUGAUGGAGGGGGAUAACUACUGGAAACGGUAGCUAAUACCGCAUACCAUGGGAUGUGCCCAGAUGGGAUUAGCUAGUAGGUGGGGUAACGGCUCACCUAGGCGACGAUCACUAGCUGGUCUGCGAGGAUGACCAGCCACACUGGAACUGAGACACGGUCCAGACUCCGACGUGAGGCAUCAUUGGGGAAUAUUGCACAAUGGGCGCAAGCCUGAUGCAGCCAUGCCGCGUGUAUGAAGAAGGCCUUCGGGUUGUAAAGUACUUUCAGCGGGGAGGCGUUACCAACAGAAUAAGCACCGGCUAACUUCGUGCCAGCAGCCGCGGUAAUAC